AGAGAUAGAGAGCCGUAGCCUACUAGCAAAAUCAUCAACUCCAGAUCGGUUCACAUUAGCAGCAGCGAGAACUACGAUGGAAACAACCCCGAUGCAGCGGGGCUGAUCGGGACCACACAGGGUAAAUCAGAGCUGCCUGGUGAACCGAAGAAACGAUUGGACAGAAGUGGCGACAGGCUGCCCCGGCGGAGCAGCAACGUCCGAUCAGCAGCGGCGAUCUCAGCGGGGCGGCAACGAUCCAACAACGGUGGGCGAAUCAGCGAGCAGCAGCGGCUGUGGUGGCAGCUCAUGACGGACAGCAUCUGUGAAGACGGAGAAUUACAUGAGGCAACGAUGGCGUAAAACUGUGACAGCAACCAACGAUGCUGCAAUCUGACCGACGGAGGAGAGGAGUUGGGACAGCGAGCUUGUCUCUUGGUGACAAGGCUGAUGGGUGUUGAUCGAAGGAGGGGCAACGGCGAAGCUGCUGAACGACGAGCGGGCAGAGGCAUCAGCGGCAGAGAGGCGAUGGUUUCCGUGGUGACCACCGCGGUGGCGAAGGGCAGAUUGCGACUGCUCGGUGAUGAAGGCAGAUCGGGCAGCAGCGGUGACCGGCGGCGCCAUCAGCGGCGAUGUGGAGAGUGCAUUGCGACGAUCAGAUUGCUGAGAGAGAGAAGAAGAGAGUAAGAGGGAGAGAUGGAAGUCGUUGCACACAGUCGAGAGAGAGAGAGAGAUGUUUCUUUUUGGGGAAGAAGAGCAUUUAUUUUUUGAGAAGAGAUCAGAAUCUUCUAACUAAGAUCGAAGGGGCAAUUUUUGCAUGCUAUUUAAGAACGGAAAGGAUUGACAAGUGAAGGAUUUAAGAGAACGAGGUUGAGGGUUUAGCUGUGACGAGCGUGGUGGGUGUUGAGCAGAGCUAGUGAAGAUUUGUGUUUGCUUUUAAAUGUUCCGAAUAUAUUAUGUCUUCAUACAUAAUAUUAUUCUUCUCUCGAAUGCUUCCGCUGAAUGAUGUUUCUUUUGAGUUCGUGUAUUGUCAAGAUAGUUUCAUUUGGAGUUGUUGAUUGUUGAGAUAAUACUCUGAUUUUAUUCGAGCUAUUCCAUUUAUUUUGAGCUA